AUACGUAGGUGGCGAGCGUUGUCCGGAUUUACUGGGCGUAAAGGGCGUGCAGGCGGUUCGUUAAGUUCGAGGUGAAAGCUCCCGGCUCAACUGGGAGAGGUCCCCGGAUACUGGCGGACUUGAGGGAGGUAGAGGAAAGUGGAAUUCCCGGUGUAGUGGUGAUAUGCGUAGAUAUCGGGAGGAACACCAGUGGCGAAGGCGGCUUUCUGGGCCUUACCUGACGCUGAGACGCGAAAGCGUGGGGAGCGAACCGGAUUAGAAACCCCAGUAGUCC
rnacentral:rRNA from 1 species